rnacentral:rRNA from 1 species
UACGGAGGGUGCAAGCGUUAUCCGGAUUCACUGGGUUUAAAGGGUGCGUAGGCGGGUUGGUACGUCUGUGGUGAAAUCUCCAAGCUUAACUUGGAAACUGCCGUGGAUACUAUCAAUCUUGAAUAUAGUGGAGGUGAGCGGAAUAUGUCAUGUAGCGGUGAAAUGCGUAGAUAUGACGUAGAACAACCAUUGCGAAGGCAGCUCGCUGGACUAUUAUUGACGCUGAGGCGCGAAAGCGUGGGGAUCAAACAGG